CUAACACUAUUUAACAGAAAUAGUCAGUUUCAAAAUCCACAAGUAUUUGCAAUAUAUUCAGAUAAUCAAGACCAAUAAUUAGGACAUUGCUUAAUCUUCUGGAGCGCUUGCUCAUACAUCUAUUAUCAAUAUUUAUAUGUCAGCUGGAUGUGGAAAUAGAAACACAGAUUUAAUGGCACAAAUCACACAAAGUAUUCUACAUGGAAAUUCUGGUCCCAUACAGCUGGGAGAGCUGAAAUGCCUGCUGUCAGCCUGUCUGUACAGGAUUACCAUGGCUAUUGCGUGGAUAGAGGCAAGAUCAGCAGCAAGAAAUCUCCCGCAGAAGUUGAGAGAGAGGACGCUGGUAGUGGUGACUAUAAC